GUGGGGAAUAUUGGACAAUGGGCGAAAGCCUGAUCCAGCCAUGCCGCGUGUGUGAAGAAGGUCUUCGGAUUGUAAAGCACUUUAAGUUGGGAGGAAGGGCAGUAAGUUAAUACCUUGCUGUUUUGACGUUACCGACAGAAUAAGCACCGGCUAACUUCGUGUCAGCAGCCGCGGUAAUACGAAGGGUGCAAGCGUUAAUCGGAAUUACUGGGCGUAAAGCGCGCGUAGGUGGUUUUGUAAGUUGGAGGUGAAAUCCCCGGGCUCAACCUGGGAACUGCCUCCAAAACUGCAUGACUAGAGUACGGUAGAGGGUAGUGGAAUUUCCUGUGUAGCGGUGAAAUGCGUAGAUAUAGGAAGGAACACCAGUGGCGAAGGCGACUACCUGGACUGAUACUGACACUGAGGUGCGAAAGCGUGGGGAGCAAACAGGAUUAGAUACCCGGGUAGUCC
rnacentral:rRNA from 1 species